GGUGCUCGCUGCCUUCCUUCAACACGUUUACCCGGGAGGAUGGGCCGGGAGAAGCUCCGUCCGUGCUUCAUGCCAGCCCCACCCCUUGACUCCCAGCCCAUGUCCAGUCAGGUGAGGCGCCCAGAGUACCUCCUGAGCAGCACCACCGCCCUGCUGACAGUGAGUGUGUGUCCCCCUAGCAACGCACGACGAUGUUGUGGAGGCCGGUGGGAGUGAGAAGACCGAGGAGGAGGCCCAGGCUGUGACCAAGGAGGAGGAGGCGGGCCCGGCCCCUGAGAAGGGGGCAGAGGAGGCCGCAGCCGUUGGCGAGGCAGAGGAGGAGGCGGGCCCAGGCAGUGACAAUGACAAGACGUCCCCAGCCAGGGCUGGGGCUGAGCAGGAAGAUGAAUCUGCCCCCAAGGUGGACGGGACGGACGGUGAAAGCUCGUGGAGCACUGUGAGUCUGUGUGGCAGCGUCCACGAUGAAGAUGACACAGACUCGGUGGUGGAGAGCAGCAACAGCCACCAGGACGAGGAGGCUGCAGGUAGGGAAGAGCACGCAGCUGGGAUCCAGUGGGAGAGGGUUCCUGGGAGCACCUGGGUUGCACCUGCUGCCGGGCGAGGGAGGAAGGGGGAUGGGACUUGGCGGGUGGGUGGGUGGCCUAAUGAGUGGAAGCCUGGUGUGGCGUUUUCCCCUCUGAAAUUGAUCACACGAAGAAGCCUUGGGUGCCUGGUCUUUGUUGUGCUGUGUGUGUCUUCCUGUCUCCUUCCUUGGAGAGGGAAAAUGGAUUUUCCCUCCCAAGGCUGCUCCUUCCAGCUCUUGGCCCUGGCCACUGGGCCAGCUUGCUUUGUGACUCGCACCCUGAGGGUCCUGUGCACAAGAGCUGUUGACUUAGUUUCCUUUAGUGACCUUGAUGGACCUGACGGGGUGGGACGCCAACCUCUCCUAGGCCCCCGACCCUGGAGACGAAGUUGGUCUAGUGAGUGUCAGGUGGUGGGUGAGAAGGCAGCUCUCUCCCUCUGCACGUGCAGGAUUUCUGGGCUCCCUGACCUGUUGUGUCCUCACGGUGUGUCCUCAGGGAAGGGGCGUCCCGAGAGUUGGAUGCCCAGAACAGGGAACUGAGGCACAGAGAUUACUAGGUCCCCUUCCCUGGCAUGUGUUUCUUCAACAGGGGAUGUGCAGAGUUCGCUAGUGUCCUAGACGUUAAGGGUCCAGUGUUGGAUCCCUGCUGUGGUGCAGAGUCUAGCCGUGGCCUGGGAAGUUCUGCAUGCCCUCCCUGGGAGUGGCGAAAAUCAGUCAGUCAAUCAUUGGGAUUGACAUCAGACCGUUCUGCAUUGUCAUCA
rnacentral:lncRNA from 1 species